rnacentral:rRNA from 1 species
AUGCCUAAGCCCACUUUCAUACUCGCCAUCAUCCUUCUAAUUGCUCUCUUCAAUGCAUCUGCAAGCCAAACCAUAGUGGUAGAAAUUGAUAAUGCUGUUCCUCCGAAGUUCAUAAAGGCGCACAGCAGGAAGAUUCUCACAGAGAUUCAGGACUAUGACUAUGGAGGUGCAAACUCUAGGCAUGAUCCACGCAGAAGGCCCGGGAGGAAUGGCUAG